UCCUCUCCCCUCGCGCACCUUGCGGGAUAGCUCCCUCCGCCACCCCGCGCCGCCUCUCCCCUUCUCCACCAAUCGCGCCGCCCUUCCGAUGGUCCGCGCGCGCCGCCCCUUCUCCUCCAUCGCGCCGCCCCUUCCCUCGCCUGCGCAUGGAGGUCUUCGACGGCGAAAGUGCAGCGCCGGCGGUGGGGCGGUGGGAGGCACUAUUGGAGCUCUUCCUGGAGACGGGGCUUGGGGAAGGGCUGGCCUAGAGGAGGAGCAAGGUGGAGGAGGACCUUCGUGAAGUGGCCAUGCCUACUCCUCCCAGCUCGGCCAAAUUGGACUGCUGAGAUCUGUGGGCAGAGCUAUGAAUUAGACCACCUUGUUGAAAUUUCUCAGAUCAUGAGUUUUCUCACAUAUGUGCUACUCCAGUCCGUGUUCAGUUUGCUGCUCAACGGGAGAAGCACGGUCACCCCUCCAGAGAGAAACGAGUACAUUGCGUCUAAGUCAGUUACUACUAUUUUCCGUUUCUCCAUCGAGUCAAACAGAUAAAGGGAUUGUAGCUUAUAAUGCAAACCGGUUGCACUUGGGAAUGGCAAAUUAGGCUAUCCGUGUACACACUAACCCCAUUCUCCCCAAGGGAGUUCCCAAACCAAGUACGUCUUUUCUCUGUCUGGAUGCCUUGCUAGAAAUUCUUAGAUGCUCAUGCUUUUGCUAGAUUUAUGUGUCUUCUCGUUUCAGCCUGGUGAGAUAGGUAAUAAUGAAGCGUUGGUGUCUAUUUUAUCAGGAAAUGGACUCCGUGUGUUUAUAUUGAAGUCAAACCACUUAACUUUUGGUCUCUUUGAAAUUUCUUAGAGGCUGGAUAGCAUGUUCAAUCUGUCAGCUGGUUGUAUCACUAGCCUUUUCUUACAUUUUCUUUUUCUUGGGCUGCAGGAAAUAUAAAUGGCCUCUAUUCAGUUAUUUACACGACCAAUAUGUGAUGAACUCUACAAAUAGAAUGUGUAUAAGACACCUUAAGAGGGCAAACCAGAUGCUGAUUGCGAGUAGUGGCAUGCCUAAGGCUCCCCAUAUGAGUUAUCACCGAUAAUAACUUCGUCUUCUCUGUGAGUGAUAUGGUUACGUAGAAGAAUGUUGAGCUCACCAGGAUGCAAGAUGGGAUGCAAUAUAUAGAGGUGGCCGACAUCUACAGGUUGUUGCCGCUGACAUCAUACUUGCUCAGGAUCCUCAUUAUUAGGCUCGAGAUGCGAAAUCAUAGGCAUGACGCAUGGGUGAAUUUUGUUACUAUGAGAGCUUCUCUAUUUUCAGCGCUCGCGGCAUAAAGGCCUUGGUGCAUUGAUGAAUUUUAUUAGCAAGAGCCUUCUAUAUUUUUCCAUUCAACUUUGCAUCUUCCUUGACUUUCCUCAUUUGAUAAUCAUAAAAAUGACACGCACGCGUAGAACUUGGAUGAAUCUCCAAGGGUCAAGCAGAGGGACCACUCAUGCUUAAGCCUGCCAGCUUAAAUCCAGAUAAUUUCCUAAAAAAGGGUGGAUUUAAAUCCAGAUAAUUUCCUAAAAUGGGUGUCGAAUGCUUCAGGUUUUAUAUAUUGUGACAUUGAACUAUGGAAAUGGAAAUUUGGUUUUGUGAGGAUCUGGUUGGAGCCUUUGCCGUCAAGUUUAUAAGCGGGUAAGAAACUAAUGGAGGACAACGGACAAAUUAUAACUGUAGUUACACGUAAAGAUGAGCAAGAUUGCGUCGAAAUGUUAUAUAUAUUUCGUGAGUUCAUUGAAAUAAGCAGAGUAUGAUAUUACAAAUGAAUCUAUUUAAAUAAAAUGUUUUAGAUUAGGUAGUUAUUUAUCUUGGUCUGCUCAUUUCCAACUUGAUUUACUUUAGGUACCAUAGCUUCAGUUAACUUAUUUGUUCAAAGGAGUGAGAGGGCACAUACUGCAGAAUCUAUAGAUAUUUUCUACUGUUCAUUUCUUAUUUCGCGUGUUAGAAUGUCUAUUCUCAGUUUUGGGACUUGAUCAAUACAUGUGUUUUUGUAGCUCAUUAUAUUAUUGGUCUAUAAAUGUGAUAUAAUUACAUUUAGUGAAAAAUAUUAGCUUAUGUUGAGGUAUUUCAGUUUUGAUCAUUAUACAGUUCACUGCCUUCUGAGCCCAUUGUAGGAUAAAUAGGAAGGUCCUUUGUUUUCUUACGAAGUUUCUUAAUAACUAAUUGUGCUCGGAGGCAUCUUCUUGUUGAGUUAAGUUUUUUUUUUUAAAAGAAGACCAUCUAUUUGAAUUAAAGCUGGGCAUGCUCUUGCUGAGUUACUUCUUGGGCCAGUUUGAUUUUUUCAUUACGUUUUGUCAGAUUCCUUUUAUUGCAUCUUCCAUUUGUAUUUGUCCAAACUAUCAGAGAACUUGGAGUUGAGACUAAGAAUCUAUUUUUAUCCUCUUUUGUCAUAUAUAUCUUGCAGAAUGUUCAGCAGGUGAUGUGCUAAUUUUUCCUCUGGUAAACAGAACUUCCUCUACGUACGAAGUAUAUAAUGAGUUUGAUUGUGUGUUGAUAUUGAGUGCUCGCAAGAAAUUGAAAUAGGCUACAGAUUAGUUUACUUUGGUAAUCUAUGUUCCGUAGCAUUUUCCCAAUAUAUGUUUCAGUUAUCCUGCAAAAAGACUUCAGUUGAGUUGAAUCCUGUUACAGGACUGAACAAUUAGGGUUUUGUACAUACAUAUUUCGUUGUGAUCUGUGGCACAAUUUUUUUCAUGUGCCUUACUAGCUAUAGUCUGUAGAAUGACACUUAUCAUUGGUAUUGGUAUUGGUUCUAUGCUACAGCUUAUUUUACGACUUUUGCAUAGUUGUCAACAUGUUUAUACUAAAUCUUUUAGCUAGCUCCUAAUGUUUCACUAUUCUAUUCUUUUGUAGUACACUUGUGCAGUACAUGGCUUUUGGAAUAGGGUGUUCACUAGGGAGUUGGGGCAAGUCUGCAAAUAUGUCCUGAUAAGUUGGUUGUGGAUGAACUUCUUGGGCCAGUGUCUCCAAUUCUUUCAACUCCUUAGGCAGACGGUAGAUGUUCUUAUUAUUUCAGAAUCGUGCAAAUGGGAUUCAGACAUAUUCUUCUAUCGUGGUAUGGCUCAUGCAGAUACCUCUUUGUCAAGCUGACUGGUGAUUUUACUACAUGGAAACGUACUAAAUGUGGCGUUUAUUCAGUCAAGUCAGCCUAAAGCUGACACAAGGUAAUUGCCUAAAUUUUGGUAUCUGAACUUCCUAUAAACAGUAUGAAAAUAGAGAUGACCAUGCUUUGUAAUCUCAAGUAUCAUAUUUACUAUGACAUAGUUGGCAGACUUUAUAUUCAGAUCAUUUGCUAUGCUAUCUACUGUACUUUGAGAGAGAAUGGUUUCACAAGAUUUUAGGCUGUAGUAUAUUUAACCUGUAAGACAAGCUCCCUAACCUUUUUGAUGAACAAGGAGGCAUCAUGCACUAACUGACACAUUUUUGUAGGUCUACACAUUUUCCAGAAACAGCUGUU